GAUGAAGAACGUAGCGAAAUGCGAUAAGUAGUGUGAUUUGCAGAAUUCAGUGAAUCAUCGAAUCUUUGAACGCACAUUGCGCCCUUUGGUAUUCCUUAGGGCAUGCCUGUUCGAGCGUCAUUUAAACCUUCAAGCUAAGCUUGGUGUUGGGUGACUGUCCGCUUCACGGCGGACUCGCCUCAAAAUUAUUGGCGGCCGGUACAUUGGCUUCGAGCGCAGCAGAAACGCGAACUCGGGCCCGUCGUAUUGGCUCCCAGAAGCUAUCUUCACAAUUUUGACCUCGGAUCAGGUAGGGAUACCCGCUGAACUUAAGCAUAUCAAUAAGCGGAGGA
rnacentral:misc_RNA from 1 species